rnacentral:rRNA from 1 species
UACGGGGGGAGCAAGCGUUGUUCGGAUUUACUGGGCGUAAAGGGCGCGUAGGCGGCCAGCACAAGUCAGUUGUGAAAUCUCCGAGCUUAACUCGGAAAGGUCAACUGAUACUGUGCGGCUAGAGUGCGGAAGGGGCAACUGGAAUUCUUGGUGUAGCGGUGAAAUGCGUAGAUAUCUGGAGGAACACCGGUGGCGAAGGCGGCAUCCUGGACCGGUAUUGACGCGUGAGGCGCGAAAGCUAGGGGAGCAAACGGG